GUGAACACUUUUAAUAUUAUAAAAAAAUAGAAUAUCAUGUCUCCUUCUUAAUGAUCUUUAUUAUAUAUUAAUAUAAGUUUCAUACAAUGUAACAUAAGGACAUAUCAUAUCAUCAAAUAUAACAUCAAAAUAGUAUACAUAAAAUAUGCAUAUAAUAAAAAUAAAAAAAUAUUUUAUUAUCAAAUAAUAAAAAAAAUUAUUGGUUUUGUAGGAUAU
rnacentral:lncRNA from 1 species